GUUCUACUCCCUCCGUCCGAAAAUACUUGUCCUAAAGAUGAAUGUAUCUAGACUUAUUUAAGUUAUAGAUACAUCCAUUAUAUCCAUUUCUAGGACAAGUAUUUCCGGACGGAGGGAGUAUGAU
rnacentral:pre_miRNA from 1 species